AUUGAACGCUGGCGGCAGGCUUAACACAUGCAAGUCGAACGAGUGGCGGACGGGUGAGUAAUGCUUGGGAAUCUAGCUUAUGGAGGGGGAUAACUACGGGAAACUGUAGCUAAUACCGCGUACCAUAGGAUGAACCCACAUGGGUUUAGGUAGUUGGUGAGGUAAAGGCUCACCAAGCCGACGAUCUCUAGCUGGUCUUAGAGGAUGAACAGCCACACUGGGACUGAGACACGGCCCAGACUCCUACGGUAGGCAGCAGUGGGGAAUAUUGCGCAAUGGGGGCAACCUGACGCAGCCAUGCCGCGUGAAUGAAGAAGGCCUUCGGGUUGUAAAGUUCUUUCGGUAGCGAGGCGUUAACUACAGAAGAAGCACCGGCUAACUCCGUGCCAGCAGCCGCGGUAAUAC
rnacentral:rRNA from 1 species